ACGAACGCUGGCGGCGUGCUUAACACCUGCAAGUCGAACGGAAAGGCCCUGCUUUUGUGGGGUGCUCGCGUGGCGAACGGGUGAGUAACACGUGAGUAACCUGCCCUUGACUUUGGGAUAACUUCAGGAAACUGGGGCUAAUACCGGAUAGGAGCUCCUGCUGCAUGGUGGGGGUUGGAAAGUUUCGGCGGUUGGGGAUGGACUCGCGGCUUAUCAGCUUGUUGGUGGGGUAGUGGCUUACCAAGGCUUUGACGGGUAGCCGGCCUGAGAGGGUGACCGGCCACAUUGGGACUGAGAUACGGCCCAGACUCCUUCGGGAGGCAGCAGUGGGGAAUAUUGCACAAUGGGCGGAAGCCUGAUGCAGCAACGCCGCGUGCGGGAUGACGGCCUUCGGGUUGUAAACCGCUUUCGCCUGUGACGAAGCGUGAGUGACGGUAAUGGGUAAAGAAGCACCGGCUAACUACGUG
rnacentral:rRNA from 1 species